rnacentral:lncRNA from 1 species
UUUCUCUCUCUUUUUUCUUUUUCAUAUACAUACAAUAUGACUAAGUGACACUGAAUCAUUCCUUGAAGGUUGAAUUGCUACUUCUUGUGCCUUCCUGCUCCAGAAUCAUACCGUAUCGUAUAUCUGCAAUACGGGGCAGGGGGAAAUAGAAAACAGAUGCGGCGAUAUCAGCUUGGCCCCGUACCACUGCUCAGGAGUUUCAGUGGGUUUAUUUUCUGUUUAUGCCUGUUGGUGUGUGCGGGAGAAGCAGAGAGCAGUGCAAAGACCUUCUUAAAAAGAUUUAUCUCAAAGUAUCUAAUGUGGGAAGACAAUUACAAGCUUGUACGAUGAGCGGCUGCUCCCUGGAUACAUUUCAAUUCCCGUCCCUCGCCGAGCAGCUGCCCUUCCUGCAGCCUGCAAAUCCUCACGAGCCUCCGCAGAAGUCAGUCCCUGAGAGCAAGUGGCCACAAAGGACUCCUUCUGCCUUCCAGGAAGAUUUCAGGAGAAAAGAGCCCUUAAAGUUUGGUGUCGGUCCAGCCAGAGCGAGUUCACUAGAAACACGGUUGGGAUGCUGCGGUGCGUCAGGCUGGGCAGAGAUGGGAGCGAGGUGCCCUUGACAGGACCGGAGGUUUCCCAAGCGAGCUGUUGCAAUGCCUGGGGUGCUGAGGCUGUCUCCAGGGCAGGGCUGGCUCCCAGGGCGCUGUCACGCUGGCCACAGUGGGCUGGUACCUCUGAGUGCCUGUGGCCCUUCAGAGCGAGGGGUUCCCGUGUAGCUCGCUGCUGAAUUCACCCUGGGGCUUAACAAGCAACCUGGCCAAGGAGGGGGCUGUUGAUGGCAGCCUUGCUGCUCCUGCUGUGGUUUAAGGGAAACCAGAAACCCCUCACCAAGUAUGACCCCUGACAGCGCUGGAAGGACCCAGGGGAGGGGGCUGCAAUGCCUGCAGGUAUUUGAGAAGGUGCCAGGCAAGGCGGCAUGGGUGGCUGUCAAGGAUGCUUGUGGGGCAGGCAGGAAAGCUCCCCGGGGGCUGGGAUCAGAUGGGACCCCCGGAGCGCAUCAGGGACAUGAGUUAGGGGAGGCGGGGAGAGAAAAAUGCCCAGGAGAAGAAGAAAGAGAGAUCGUGGGUGAAAUGCUGUGCUGGAAGCGAGGAUGAGGGCUGCCCCUGGCCGCUUUCUGUUCCGGGGGAUGGAUGGACGGGGGGUUGGAUGGAUGGG